GGCGAUGUAGCUCAGUUGGUAGAGCAAGCGGCUCAUAACCGCUGUGUCGGGGGUUCGAUUCCCUUCAUCGCCACCA
rnacentral:tRNA from 1 species